CGGUGGCCGGCGCCGACUGCCAGCACCACCAGGAGGAGGCGGCCAGCGAGCCGGGCGGCGCCCUGCGUAUCCGCGGACUGCGACCCCAGUGCGAGUACACGGUGCGGCUGAAGCCAGACUCGGAGGCGAACGCGGCGUUCUCCCGCGGCAUCCCGCACUGGCAGACCGUCAAGGUCACGGACGGCGACGUGGCGGACGUGCGCCUGCUGGCCGUG